rnacentral:rRNA from 1 species
UACGGGGGGGGGUAAGCGUUGUUCGGAAUUACUGGGCGUAAAGGGCUCGUAGGCGGCCAACUAAGUCAUACGUGAAAUCCCUCAGCUUAACUGGGGAACUGCGUGUGAUACUGGAUGGCUUGGAUUUGGGAGAGGGAUGCGGAAUUCCAGGUGUAGCGGUGAAAUGCGUAGAUAUCUGGAGGAACGCCGGUGGCGAAGGCGGCAUCCUGGACCAAUAUUGACGCUGAGGAGCGAAAGCCAGGGGAGCAAACGGG